GAUGAACGCUGGCGGCGUGCCUAAUACAUGCAAGUCGAACGAAACUUCUUUAUCACCGAGUGCUUGCACUCACCGAUAAAGAGUUGAGUGGCGAACGGGUGAGUAACACGUGGGCAACCUGCCCAAAAGAGGGGGAUAACACUUGGAAACAGGUGCUAAUACCGCAUAACCAUAGUUACCGCAUGGUAACUAUGUAAAAGGUGGCUAUACUACCGCUUUUGGAUGGGCCCGCGGCGCAUUAGCUAGUUGGUAGGGUAAAGGCUUACCAAGGCAAUGAUGCGUAGCCGAAUUGAGAGGUUGAUCGGCCACAUUGGGACUGAGACACGGCCCAAACUCCUACGGGAGGCAGCAGUAGGGAAUCUUCCACAAUGGGCGAAAGCCUGAUGGAGCAACGCCGCGUGGGUGAAGAAGGUCUCGGAUCGUAAAACCCUGUUGUUAGAGAAGAAAGUGCGUGAGAGUAACUGUUCACGUUUCGACGGUAUCUAACCAGAAAGCCACGGCUAACUACGUG
rnacentral:rRNA from 1 species